CAUAAACACAUGUUCUAGUACGAUCACCGAAGUUAAGCAACAGCAAGCUGAUUAGUACUUUGAUGAGUGACCGCUUGGGAAUACCAGGUGC